UGGGGAAUAUUGCACAAUGGGGGAAACCCUGAUGCAGCCAUGCCGCGUGUGUGAAGAAGGCCUUCGGGUUGUAAAGCACUUUCAGCGAGGAGGAAAGGUUGAUGCUUAAUACGUAUCAACUGUGACGUUACUCGCAGAAGAAGCACCGGCUAACUCCGUGCCAGCAGCCGCGGUAAUACGGAGGGUGCAAGCGUUAAUCGGAAUUACUGGGCGUAAAGCGCACGCAGGCGGUUUGUUAAGUCAGAUGUGAAAUCCCCGGGCUCAACCUGGGAACUGCAUUUGAAACUGGCAAGCUUGAGUCUUGUAGAGGGGGGUAGAAUUCCAGGUGUAGCGGUGAAAUGCGUAGAGAUCUGGAGGAAUACCGGUGGCGAAGGCGGCCCCCUGGACAAAGACUGACGCUCAGGUGCGAAAGCGUGGGGAGCAAACA
rnacentral:rRNA from 1 species